rnacentral:rRNA from 1 species
UACAGAGGGUGCAAGCGUUAAUCGGAAUUACUGGGCGUAAAGCGUGCGCAGGCGGUUUUGUAAGCCAGAUGUGAAAUCCCCGGGCUCAACCUGGGAACUGCAUUUGUGACUGCAUCGCUGGAGUGCGGCAGAGGGGGAUGGAAUUCCGCGUGUAGCAGUGAAAUGCGUAGAUAUGCGGAGGAACACCGAUGGCGAAGGCAAUCCCCUGGGCCUGCACUGACGCUCAUGCACGAAAGCGUGGGGAGCAAACAGG